ACCUACAUCCUGGUGAUUCAACAGAGCUGUGAUGGACAAUGUACCAGGUCUACAUCCUGGGGAGUCAACAGGGCUGUGAUGGACAAUGUACCAGGUCUACAUCCUGGUGAUUCAACAGGGCUGUGAUGGACAAUGUACCAGACCUACAUCCUGGUGAUUCAACAGAGCUGUGAUGGACAAUGUAUCAGGUCUACAUCCUGGUGAUUCAACAGGGCUGUGUUGGACAAUGUACCAGGUCUACAUCCUGGUGAUUCAACAGGGCUGUGAUGGACAAUGUACCAGACCUACAUCCUGGUGAUUCAACAGGGCUGUGAUGGACAAUGUACCAGACCUACAUCCUGGUGAUUCAACAGGGCUGUGUACCAGGUCUACAUCCUGGUGAUUCAACAGGGCUGUGAUGGACAAUGUAACAGGUCUAUAUCCUGGUGAUUCAACAGGGCUGUGAUGGACAAUGUAACAGACCUACAUCCUGGUGAUUCAACAGAGCUGUGAUGGACAAUGUACCAGGUCUACAUCCUGGUGAUUCAACAGGGCUGUGAUGGACAAUGUACCAGGUCUACAUCCUGGUGAUUCAACAGGGCUGUGAUGGACAAUGUACCAGGUCUACAUCCUGGUGAUUCAACAGGGCUGUGUUGGACAAUGUACCAGGUCUACAUCCUGGUGAUUCAACAGGGCUGUGAUGGACAAUGUACCAGGUCUACAUCCUGGUGAUUCAACAGGGCUGUGAUGGACAAUGUACCAGACCUACAUCCUGGUGAUUCAACAGGGCUGUGAUGGACAAUGUACCAGACCUACAUCCUGGUGAUUCAACAGGGCUGUGAUGGACAAUGUAACAGGUCUACAUCCUGGUGAUUCAACAGAGCUGUGAUGGACAAUGUACCAGGUCUACAUCCUGGUGAUUCAACAGAGCUGUGAUGGACAAUGUACCAGACCUACAUCCUGGUGAUUCAACAGGGCUGUGAUGGACAAUGUACCAGACCUACAUCCUGGUGAUUCAACAGAGCUGUGAUGGACAAUGUACCAGACCUACAUCCUGGUGAUUCAACAGGGCUGUGAUGGACAAUGUACCAGGUCUACAUCCUGGUGAUUCAACAGGGCUGUGAUGGACAAUGUACCAGGUCUAUAUCCUGGUGAUUCAACAGAGCUGUGAUGGACAAUGUACCAGACCUACAUCCUGGGGAUUCAACAGAGCUGUGAUGGACAAUGUACCAGGUCUACAUCCUGGUGAUUCAACAGGGCUGUGAUGGACAAUGUACCAGACCUACAUCCUGGUGAUUCAACAGAGCUGUGAUGGACAAUGUACCAGGUCUACAUCCUGGGGAGUCAACAGGGCUGUGAUGGACAAUGUACCAGGUCUACAUCCUGGUGAUUCAACAGGGCUGUGAUGGACAAUGUACCAGGUCUACAUCCUGGUGAUUCAACAGGGCUGUGAUGGACAAUGUACCAGACCUACAUCCUGGUGAUUCAACAGGGCUGUGAUGGACAAUGUACCAGACCUACAUCCUGGUGAUUCAACAGGGCUGUGAUGGACAAUGUAACAGGUCUAUAUCCUGGUGAUUCAACAGAGCUGUGAUGGACAAUGUACCAGGUCUACAUCCUGGUGAUUCAACAGGGCUGUGUUGGACAAUGUACCAGGUCUACAUCCUGGUGAUUCAACAGGGCUGUGAUGGACAAUGUACCAGGUCUACAUCCUGGUGAUUCAACAGGGCUGUGAUGGACAAUGUACCAGGUCUACAUCCUGGUGAUUCAACAGAGCUGUGAUGGACAAUGUACCAGACCUACAUCCUGGUGAUUCAACAGGGCUGUGAUGGACAAUGUACCAGGUCUACAUCCUGGUGAUUCAACAGAGCUGUGAUGGACAAUGUACCAGACCUACAUCCUGGUGAUUCAACAGGGCUGUGUACCAGGUCUACAUCCUGGUGAUUCAACAGGGCUGUGAUGGACAAUGUAACAGGUCUAUAUCCUGGUGAUUCAACAGGGCUGUGAUGGACAAUGUAACAGACCUACAUCCUGGUGAUUCAACAGAGCUGUGAUGGACAAUGUACCAGGUCUACAUCCUGGUGAUUCAACAGGGCUGUGAUGGACAAUGUACCAGGUCUACAUCCUGGUGAUUCAACAGGGCUGUGAUGGACAAUGUACCAGGUCUACAUCCUGGUGAUUCAACAGGGCUGUGUUGGACAAUGUACCAGGUCUACAUCCUGGUGAUUCAACAGGGCUGUGAUGGACAAUGUACCAGGUCUACAUCCUGGUGAUUCAACAGGGCUGUGAUGGACAAUGUACCAGGUCUACAUCCUGGUGAUUCAACAGAGCUGUGAUGGACAAUGUUCCAGGUCUACAUCCUGGUGAUUCAACAGAGCUGUGAUGGACAAUGUACCAGACCUACAUCCUGGUGAUUCAACAGGGCUGUGAUGGACAAUGUACCAGACCUACAUCCUGGUGAUUCAACAGGGCUGUGAUGGACAAUGUAACAGGUCUACAUCCUGGUGAUUCAACAGAGCUGUGAUGGACAAUGUACCAGGUCUACAUCCUGGUGAUUCAACAGAGCUGUGAUGGACAAUGUACCAGACCUACAUCCUGGUGAUUCAACAGGGCUGUGAUGGACAAUGUACCAGACCUACAUCCUGGUGAUUCAACAGAGCUGUGAUGGACAAUGUACCAGACCUACAUCCUGGUGAUUCAACAGGGCUGUGAUGGACAAUGUACCAGGUCUACAUCCUGGUGAUUCAACAGGGCUGUGAUGGACAAUGUACCAGGUCUAUAUCCUGGUGAUUCAACAGAGCUGUGAUGGACAAUGUACCAGACCUACAUCCUGGGGAUUCAACAGAGCUGUGAUGGACAAUGUACCAGGUCUACAUCCUGGUGAUUCAACAGGGCUGUGAUGGACAAUGUACCAGACCUACAUCCUGGUGAUUCAACAGAGCUGUGAUGGACAAUGUACCAGGUCUACAUCCUGGGGAGUCAACAGGGCUGUGAUGGACAAUGUACCAGGUCUACAUCCUGGUGAUUCAACAGGGCUGUGAUGGACAAUGUACCAGGUCUACAUCCUGGUGAUUCAACAGGGCUGUGAUGGACAAUGUACCAGACCUACAUCCUGGUGAUUCAACAGGGCUGUGAUGGACAAUGUACCAGACCUACAUCCUGGUGAUUCAACAGGGCUGUGAUGGACAAUGUAACAGGUCUAUAUCCUGGUGAUUCAACAGAGCUGUGAUGGACAAUGUACCAGGUCUACAUCCUGGUGAUUCAACAGGGCUGUGUUGGACAAUGUACCAGGUCUACAUCCUGGUGAUUCAACAGGGCUGUGAUGGACAAUGUACCAGGUCUACAUCCUGGUGAUUCAACAGGGCUGUGAUGGACAAUGUACCAGGUCUACAUCCUGGUGAUUCAACAGAGCUGUGAUGGACAAUGUACCAGACCUACAUCCUGGUGAUUCAACAGAGCUGUGAUGGACAAUGUACCAGACCUACAUCCUGGUGAUUCAACAGGGCUGUGAUGGACAAUGUACCAGGUCUACAUCCUGGUGAUUCAACAGGGCUGUGAUGGACAAUGUACCAGGUCUACAUCCUGGUGAUUCAACAGGGCUGUGUUGGACAAUGUACCAGGUCUACAUCCUGGUGAUUCAACAGAGCUGUGUUGGACAAUGUAACAGGUCUACAUCCUGGUGAUUCAACAGGGCUGUGAUGGACAAUGUACCAGGUCUACAUCCUGGGGAUUCAACAGAGCUGUGAUGGACAAUGUACCAGGUCUACAUCCUGGUGAUUCAACAGGGCUGUGUACCAGGUCUACAUCCUGGUGAUUCAACAGGAAAUAGGCUUCUUGGAAAUGGAAUGCAUGUCCUGUAUUCACACUCAUAACAUGGAUUUAGUCAAUAACCUAUAGGAAUACAGUAGAAACCAUUGAGCUCAUUUACAAGGAAAUUAAUGUUUAACUUAAAAAGGAAGAUACACUUUUAGACAGAACAUGUGCUAUCUAGAACCUUUAAGGGGUCUUCAGCUGUCCCCAUAGGAGAACCCUUUAAUUAAGGGUUAUUCAGCUGUCCCCAUAGGAUAACCCUUUAAUUAAGGGGUAUUCAGCUGUCCCCAUAGGAGAACCCUUUAAUUAAGGGGUCUUCAGCUGUCCCCAUAGGAGACCCUUUAAUUAAGGGCUAUUCAGCUGUCCCCAUAGGAGAACCCUUUAAUUAAGGGUUAUUCAGCUGUCCCCAUAGGAGAACCCUUUAAGGGGUCUUCAGCUGUCCCCAUAGGAGAACCCUUUAAGGGGCUUUCAGCUGUCCCCAUAGGAGAACCCUUUAAGGGGUCUUCAGCUGUCCACAUAGGAGAACCCUUUAAUUAAGGGUUAUUCAGCUGUCCCCAUAGGAGAACCCUUUAAGGGGUCUUCAGCUGUCCCCAUAGGAGAACCCUUUAAGGGGUCUUCAGCUGUCCCCAUAGGAGAACCCUUUAAUUAAGGGUUAUUCAGCUGUCCCCAUAGGAGAACCCUUUAAGGGUUAUUCAGCUGUCCCCAUAGGAGAACCCUUUAAUUAAGGGUUAUUCAGCUGUCCCCAUAGGAGAACCCUUUAAUUAAGGGGUAUUCAGCUGUCCCCAUAGGAGAACCCUUUAAGGGUUAUU